rnacentral:tRNA from 1 species
GGGGGAUUAGCUCAGUUGGCUAGAGCGCUACAAUGGCAUUGUAGAGGCCAUCGGUUCGAAUCCGAUAUUCUCCACAA